GCUGGACCCACGGCAUAUGGAGGUUCCCAGACUAGGGGUCGAAUCAGAGCUGUACAUCACCACCACAGCAACACCAGAUCUGAGCAACCUACACCACAGCUCUCGGCAACGCUGCAUCCUUAAUCCACCGAGUGAGGCCAGGGAUCGAACCUGCAUCCUCACAGAUGCUGGUUAGGUUCAUUUCCGCUGAGCCACAACGGGAACUCCUGGAUCACAUUUUUAUAACACCAUGGUCAGUGUUGGUAGCUGAGCUGGGAUGUGGUUAUCAAAUCUCUGAAUAUAGAUGGAUGCUCUUAAAAGCUAAUUUUAAGGUGGAGAAAUUGUUGCUUAUCCUACUGCUCUCUGGAAAGUGACUGCAUGUGAUUAAUAAGAAAGGAAGAGGUGGGGGUGGGUUUGCAGUGUGACACCUCCCUCUGACACUCCUGAUCCCAUUUUUAGUAAAAUUAACUGAAAAUAUAGGAAGGGGAAAAAAAUUUACACCGUUUAAACCUGUCCACAUUAGCUCUUUACAACUCAGAGAAGCACGAUCAUUUAAUGCGGGAUUUUCAGCAUCAAAAACUCCCCACCUUCAAAAAAUGCUCAUUUACCCUUGAAAUUGUUUUUGCUAUCACCACAUGGUGAAUUCUGAGGCAAGGCUUGAAUAUAUCGUUGAGUCAGUGUUGAUUUAAACAUAGAUCAACCUCCCACAGCCACCAUCUCUAAGUUGUUGCUAGAACUGAAAGAAGCUGGAAGGCAGUGAUCAAAAUUCCCCCCAAAGAACUAAUGUUCCCUCUGCCCAAACUGCCCUAAUAUGGAAAAACUCAGUGCCUCCCCACAGCAUGUGAAAUCAUUUGGUCCACAAGGACACAUAAAAGGUAUUACUCAGAGAACAUUUUCUAAUUUCCAGAAGUCUUUUGACUUCUAUCAAAUGCAUCCUCCUGCACCGAGCAAAGGCCAAAGUGAUGUCUUGUGCUGCUCAGGAGCUUUCUCCCUUGGCCUCAGCAUUUGGGGCUGGAGAUACUAUUUGUGGAAUGAGGCUGAGGAAAUGAGCCAAAAUGAAUUUCAGGCUUGCCAGAGCUUACAAUCUUAAUGCAAAUUCAACAAUUAGCAAUGCCUCAGCUGUGAAAGCUGGGAAAAAUUCCACACAUCAGAUGGUGAGAGAGGCUGGUGGGGAAAAUCACUUCCAUUUUACUCUUGUCAUCCUGUCCUCUCCGAACUCAAUUCAUAACCUUGAAAGCAGCCCCAGGCCCUGUGGAUGAUAAACUCACUCAGAUGGUUCCAGAAAGGUAACAUUCUUACUAAUCGAAACCACAGCUACAGAUGUGUAAAAAGCCUAAGCAGGGAAAGAAGUUAGAUGAUCUAAGAAACACCCUAUCAUCAGCUUCCAAAAAAGGCCUGGCCUAAUGGAUAUCCCUGAAUGCCAAGAGGAUUCAAGUAAAUGAAGAUAUUUAUAAGAAUAAACAGCUCUCAUGUGUCCUUGUCAACCUGAACAAUUUAUCAAGCAGAAAAUACACACACACACACACACACACCCCACCCUAGGGCAAUGUAGAGAAGCAAGAACCCUGGGUUUUUGGCCUUCACUUCCCUGCAUCGGUCGUCUUACAGGAGAGGGAGAAAUUUUAGCCAAGGAUGUGCAUGUGAAUGUUUCCACUGGAAAGAACAGAGAUACAGCACGUUGAGGGGAAAGCCUGAAAUUCUAAGGACCUCACAUGCGAAACAAUUAGCUGUUCCUUGUGGGGUUCCCCCCCCCAAAUCUUCUCUUCCUCCUUCCCCUGCCAGUCAUUCUUGAGGAUGCAGGCUUUGUGGCCUCGCCCAACGCUAAGAACCGCAUUCCACGGCAACCUGUUAAUCCACUGCAUGAUGACCACUCCGGGAGUAAAUCUUGGUAUUCCCUUCCAAUAUUUCUCUUCAUGACUUUUCCUCACUCCUUUCUAUCAAAAUACCCUCAAUUCUUAUUAAAGUCUGUUCUUCUGAAAACAGCUGAAACAAGAUCAAUAUUUUUAAGUGAAAAUGCCACCCCCCAAUUUUCUCCAUCAAACAUCUCUCCAGCAUAGAUGUCAGUUUGGAUCUCCCUCGAAAGCAAAGUCUGAGGAAAAUCUGGGGUACAAGUAGUUUAUUUGGGAAGUGGUUCCUGGAAGCAGCAUGUAGCCCAGAGGCUGCAAGCCAAGGAAAUGAGGAAAGUCCAUGAAGAGGUAACAGCGACUGGCUUACCACUGUGGGCAACUGGGCUCCAAUCCUGCUGGAACCUUUUGAAAUAUUGCAUCUCGCAUGCCAGAACUGUCCCACAAAAGAGCAUUCGGCCAUCGACUUGCAUCCCUCAUUGUUUGAGGGUUACUUCUGAGGCUUCCCUCGACGCCCCAGAGCUUCUGCCUGCACGGGGCAUCAGCAGGGCCCCUUCCUAUGGCUAAAGAACAUCCUUGGCAGAAGGACCCAGAGGCUUGAGGGAGAAAGUCCUCAGUGUGGUGGAGAAACACCCACAAAAGCUUCAGAAGACCUUCCAGAUGGUGACGGGUGCUGACAGUUCUCCAGCUGUGGUGCCCGCGGUAGCAUGUGCCUGAAUUUGACUGAAUGUUUAGUUGUGCACACAGUAGGUAGCCGAGCUUUCCAAAUGAAUAUUCAAACAUCCGCUCCACUUUUAUCCUCUAACUGAAUUAGGACCCCUGUGCGUGUCCUUUCCCAGAUGCAACCUUUAACCCCCUCAUCCAGUUACACAUCUUUUCAUCUGUACAAAAAGCUUCCUGUCUCCACUCUGCAAACACUUGUUUUGAACCCAAUUAUCUCAGCGCUCUUCUCUCUCUUAUGCACUGUCAAGGCAAUUUACUUCAAAUGGGCAAAUAGCUCCAGCUCAUGGCCCUUGCUUUUGAAUCUUGAAAAAGAAACUAAGAUAUCUUUCUCAAGCAGAGGGAUCUAUCAAGGUUUUUUUUUUUGAGAAGUUUAAAAAAAUGUUUAAUUAUUUCAGAUUGACAUUAUUAUUUUGUACAUCUUCUACCGACAUAAGUAAAAGCAAAACGUGUUCUUUUGUAUUAUCAGCCUCUUAUUCAAUGAGCAAAUCUGAAGGCAAGAAAUUUUAUCACAGCAAAGUCUGUUGGUUUUAUAUUUAAAUCACAAUCAGCGCUUUGUGAAAAAGCUUGUCGUAAAGUCCACAGAGAAUUAGAAAAAAAAAAUCAAGCAUGUACCCAAACAUUUAAACUGUCUCCUUGAACCUCAUUUUAUCCUCCAUAUUAGAAAUUAGCUAUUGAAUUUUCUUUUUUCGACCACAGCAACCUCUUCUUAUAACCCAGGGUGGUUUAUUAACCCCGGUUUUGGGCAACUGUACCACUGCAUUGUUCCCCAAAAUACUUUUUCACUCAAUGGUGGCUUUUUCAAUGCAACAAUCAUUACCAAGAAUUCUGAGGUUGUACACGUGUGUUAAGGAUUAGGAGACAUCAUUUCUCACCUUCUAUCACGGCCAGAGUACCACAGCUUCUGAAAAGUUGGAGAAAUAGCCUGAAGGCUUUUGACGGGAGCGUGCUGCAGUGUUUCAUGUCCGAUUCACAUCUGUAAUGAACAUGCUUUUGGAUUGCUAGCCAUAAAAGGGACACGAUCCUUAAGUAGGUCUCAGAGAAGCUCCCCUAAUUUAUGCGGCAGGACUCACCCUCAUGCGAAGGUUUAAUGAGAAACCCAUGCCUAUAAAGUGUGCCUGGCAUCUGGACAGAGGUAGCUCAGGAAAAGCAGAGGAAUAGCUCAUGUGAAGAACGUAACACCCCGAUUUUUUCAACUGACAAGGAUGACCCUAAUAGAGAAAGAGAGAAAAGAGCUACAACAACAAGAAAGGACUGGAGCAGCUAAUAUUGACCCAUUAUAUGCUUUCUGUUUACUGUAAUAGCCUCUGAACCUUUCCCAAAAGGAAAGCACGACACGGAUAAUUUAUAUGCCUAUUGAAAGUAAUCUUCCAAGCAUGAACGGCUGAAGGAUUAUAAUUUCCUUCCCCCCAAUAAUCACAGGCCUCCCAGAGGUCACACAAAUAACCAGCAUCUUUUCAUCCUAAACGCUACCAAGCCAAAGUUGAGAUAUGAGUCUAUUAAAAUCCGGUUUAAAAAAGAAUUUUAUUUUACCCAUGCUCUCAUUCAUUAAUUGCUGACUGCCUUUUAAAACCUUCCGUGGAAGACAAAGAGACCUUCAAAUCCUUUCUCUGAGAAUUAAAGCUCUCAUUUAAGGAUUCCAGAUGGGCUGUAUUUUAAGUAUUAAAGUUCAACUACUUUAACCACCAGCAGAUGAAAGGAAUUUUACCCAGUUAUGUUCCACAACUGCCACCCAGUAGUUCUUCAAUCCUGGCCAAAUUGAGCAUCAAUUUAAAUUAGAUUUACUCGUGGGACCCUUGACAAUCACAAUCAACACAAGAUAUUAGGGAGUUUAGGAAAUGGGUCUAUUAAAUGACAAUUAAAGUUGUCAGCCUUCCAGAGCUUAUUUCCAGUUAAUUUGAUCCCUGGUAGACAGUCGCAUUCGAGUGCUAGAAACAAAGAGGUCUGCCUGCAUGUGCAAGCUGAUAUAGGAGCUGGUAGUUUGGAGCCCUGUGGUGAUGGCUUGUGUUUCACUUUCAUGUAAAGGUGGCUUCAGUUGUCUCUCCAAAUAAGCGACUUCGAAAUCACUUCUUUUGCCACUAUUUAAGUCCUCCUGAAAGUUCUAGUAUUCACCAAAGGAGAACUUAGCUGACCCCUUUCAGAAAAGUCAGCAAAGAGGUCCUGGAAAGUGACUGGACUUUUCCUUUUUGCGUCAGGUCGCGUGGAACUGAUUUGGGGCCAGGUGCUGCCGAUCUGGCUCAUAUUAAAUGGCACUGUUCACCAAGAACAUGCUUGAAACUGACUAUCCAACGUCUCAGGUUACCCAUACUCUUUGAUAUGGUGCUUUUCCUUCCAGGGACUUAUCCUAAAGAAGCUUAAUCUUUACCUAAAGAUUUAUGAACAAACAUGUUUACAGCACCAUGAAGGUUGGUAAGAUAAAAAGCAAGUUUGGUUUUGCCACUCCUCCUGCCCCAUUCUCCUUAACCCUCCCCAUAUACCACAGCACCUUUCUCUACCUUGAAAACCCCUUCAAUGCCACUUCCUCCCAGGUGUCUGCCCAGAGAGCUGUGCCCUCCACCAGCCAAAAGUUUCCUAGACCUGGGGCUUUCUCAUCAGAACCUACCUAUACAACCCCCACGCCCUUGGGUUCAUGUUCUCUGCAGUCUGUCAGGCUAGGCAAUAGAUACGUUUUUUCCUUCUGAGGCAAUAAUGGAUUAAGGCUACCCUCUACUAUGCAGUAUUUUAUAUUCUAAAAUGAGAGCCUCACCGAGGCAAUGCUUUCAACCCAAAAUAAACCCAGUAGUUAGUAUGAGUUAAAAUCCCUUUUUAAAUCUAUUUUCAGUACAUGUGCAUGUGUGUGCAUGUCUUAGUUUGUUCAUUUUGUUUCAUUAUGAAAAGAUAUUCAGGCUCAUUACAGAAAGAGUGGGAAAGAAGAAGAGGUGAAAGGAAACGGAAUUCAUCCAUGUCCCCUUCCAUGCACAAAAGAAGUAUUUAACAUUCUAUUGUGUUUCUUCCCAAUCAUAUUACUAUGCACAAAUUUAUUUUCUGGAGUCAUGAUUGCAGCGUGUGUACAAUUCUGCAUUGUUUUUUCACUUUGCCCUUUAUUAGAAAAUGUCAGAAUAGCUCUACCCCCCAAAGUAGGGCCAUCGUUUACAGUAGGUCAUUCUUUUCUUCACUCAUUAUUGCUCUUGCAAAGAAUAGUUUAGAAGCUUGCCUCGUCUUUCUGGGCUUCUUAUCUACGACAACCUCGAUAUUAAAUUGGAAGCCUUCACCAUGUCUAGCUGGUAAGCAAAUUUCCCAAGACAAAAGCACUCAACUUCACUUCUAGAAUAGGGACAGGGCUGGUAAGUGUGAAAAAGGGGAUCCAGCCCAUGCCAGGCAUUGGCAGGAAGUUAAGGUCACAGGCUGCAGUCCAGGCAGAGCCUCCCUAACCACAGCAAAACCCUUCCUCCACACGCCCCUCACUCCUCUCUUCACUCAACGCAGCCACAUCCACCUCCUUGGCUCACGGGCAGAAAGUGUGGAGAGACGCGGGGGCUUGUGGUCAUUUACAAUGCGAGUAGCAGAGCACGUUCACAUCACUACUUGGGCCAGUUUUCUCUUGUGUUGCCAGUGACCAAGUGGCAAAUGCUAGCGUUUACCUCAUAUAAAUCCUCCUGGGUAGCUGAUCAUCAUUCUUAUGACAGCUUUAGAUUACACAGAAAAAGUAGAGCCAAAUUUUUUUAAGGAAACAUGGUAGGGAGCUACAACACUGUCAGAGUCAGAUCAAUUCGUCACAAUUUUGAAUAAUGUUCGAAGAGGACAUUAAAAGAAGAAGGGGAUGAGAAGGGGUGGGGAGAAUUACGUAGAGCACAGUUGGUUUAAGAUGGUAUUUGUAGGCAGCACGUCAUUUUCUUAGUGCAGUCAUUACUUCUAACCUCUCCGUGAAUGGUGGUCUGUAUUCGAGGUAAACAAGUCCGAAAGAGCUUUUGGCUAUUUUUGAGCAAGCGGGACUGCCCCGCCUGUGAAGAAACACUUACGUGCUGUUAUCAAAUUUCCAAUAACACUGUGAUUAUGCACCCAGAGACUUGGAAGGAACUAAAUAAAUUCACAAGGC
ensembl:lncRNA